rnacentral:lncRNA from 1 species
AAUUCUACCUAAAGAGCUUGGUAUCUCUCGGAGCUUGCUGCAGGCAUAUAGUUGCAAGGACUGAAGAACAUAACAGUCACCAAUGGACUGAGGCAAACUCUCAAGAUCAGUAACCCAACGCAACUCUAGAGUCCUUAGCUUCCGAAGCGUUCCAACAGACUCAGGUAAUGUCACGAAACCUUUGCAGUCAACAAAAUUGAGUGACUGCAAGUUCCAAAACCUCGAGAUAGCUUCCGGAACUGUUGUACAACUAACAUUAUGGAUUUCAAGAUACCCAAGAUACUCAAACUUUAAUAUGAAUAGUGACAACGGAGUAUCAGUUGCAUAGUCCAAAACAACACUGCGCAUACAGCAACUACUCUUCACUGUGGUAUCAAAAGAUGUCUUACUGUCAGAGAUAUAUAGAGCACGGACCUUGUCAAAUACGCCCUUGUCAACAUUCUCAGUGAAUGAAGUCAAAGAUAAAUAUCUAUACCUAUGAGUAAAUUCUUCUGUUGUAUGAAUUGGUACACAAGUCACCAGCUCAUCCUUUAGUAUCUGCCGAGUGAGAUCAUGGAUCAAAUCGUGCAUGGUGUAUAUAUCAGUAUUCCAGCUCCCAUAAACUUCCUGAAGAAAUCUGACUUUUACAAGAGAAUCUAAGUAGUCUCUUCCGACAUCUUCGGGUUGCUCUCCAUUCAUUGCAUUGAUGAAUCCAUGAGCUAUCCAUUGGGCAAUCAAACGAUCUUUCCAGAUUCCAUAGCCCUUCGGGAAUAUGGAGCAAAACGUAAAACACUGCUUCAGUUCAUCUGCCAAAUGAAUAUAGCUCAACUUCAAGGAUGCAAACACUCUGUCUUUUAUACUCUGAACCUUCCAUAAAUUAUUCUCUCUUAUGGCCCUCCACGUACUUAUUUGCUUCUUGUCACGAAGGACUGCUCCAAGAGUUUGAAUUGCUAACGGCACCCCACCACAUCCCUUGAUAAUCUCUUUUCCGACUUGUACCUCAUCGGAGCUCAAUUCUUGCUCUGCCAACCCAGAACCCUUCAGGAAUAAGUUCCAACUCUCAGACUCUGAUAAGAAUGCCAACUCAAAUGUAUAUCUUGAUUCCACAGCUUGUGCAACCUUUCGAUCACGAGUGGUUAAAACAAUCCUUGUUUCAGGUGCGCCACAUUUUAGCUGCACCAUGAACUGUUCCCAGUCAUGUCUGUCCUCAUGCCAAGCAUCAUCAAGGAUAAGAAGAAACUUCUUAUUGCUCAACUUCUCGGAGAUUUUUUGGACCAUGUGCUGUGGGGGAUGACGAUCUGAAUUAUCUCCAACAAUCGUUUCAAAUAGCUUGCCGAUGAGCUUCUGAACAUCAAACUCUUGAGACACAUGGACCCAGAAUAUUUCACCUCCAAAGUGCUCCUUUAUCUUGACGUCAUGACAAAUGUGUUUCGCCAAAGUAGUUUUGCCUGACCCCCCUAAUCCGAUGAUAGAAACUAUCAUGUUGUUCUCUCCAGCAUUACAUUCUACAAGCUUAGAUAUGAUUUCAUCCUUUUCUUGAUCCCUAAGGGGUAUUUUGGACUCUGGAACCUUGCUCAACCAGGUCAUCUCUCCAACUGUCUUGUACCUAGCACCAACAUGUUGAUCCCUUGUUGGAACUAAAGUAUUGAAAUCACUUCUUUGCUUGACGAUUGCAGCAAAUCUAACCUUGAUUGCCUUGAUCUUAUGAGCCAUCUUGUAUCGGAAUGCAAAUGACUUUGGUUUUGCACAGAAGCAACCGGCUAUACCACUCUUGUCAUCAUCUCUUUCCAUCUUCUGUUUCUCAGCUUCAAGCUGGACUUCUUGUAGUAUAUCGUCAAUGUCAUAAGCCACAUCUUUCAAUUUUAUCACCCAGUGAGACUGUGUCUCACUCUGUAUUGCUCUGUCAUACGCUGCCGACAGCCAGCCUGUAAUGUCUGCGUGUAUAUCCUGGAGCUGGCAGAGAUCUCUUUUUACACCGGCUAUGGCAGCAAACUCAGUGGCUAACAGUGAAACUAGCUUGUCACCUGCAGCCUUCAACACUCCAGAUGCUAAAGCAGCCUCCAUCCCACUCAUUAUGUCAAAGAAACUGUUGCCUAAACCCCUGCAGAUGAAAUUGAAAAACAAGCGGUUAGAUUGAGUUUCGCAAAUCCAAAACUAGUUAGGUGGCAGCAGUAAUGUUUCUUAGGAAAAAUAACUUUUUAGGAAAUGUGGCGGCAGAAAUGUUCCAAUAAUAAUUCUCAACUCUGGAAUAAAUUAACGGCCGACAAAAUAUCUGAGAGUUACAGGCCACGCCGCCGCCCGGUCCAGACGCGGCGGCCAUGUCCUCUCUCUAGCGCCAGGCCAGCUGCAGCACCCUGCUGCCAUGCAGCCUGCCCUAGGGGGCUGUUGUUCCUCCCAUCUAAUCCCCUCUGACUCCCCCAAUCUACCCUCUAAUUAAGUGAAGUCACCCCAGAUGGGACAUGUACAACAUGAGUGAUUUGCAGAUUAUAUGUUUCGAACGAAAUGGACAAAUAUUGUCCGUAUCGGCUAAAUAUCUUAUAUGGAUAACACAAAAAGUCAUUUGGAUGCUGGAAAAUAGAUCUACUAGACCGAUCGGCGUGAAAACAAAUGGAAAAUUAAUUUGCAUACCAGGUGAACAAGGACACACACAGCAGAAGCAGCAGAGCACCGACAGUAUGACACUUUGAUGCAACCAGAUAAGGGGCUUUUUGUUCUUCUUCUUGUGAAAGAGGUGAAGGGAAUCAGUAUGCUUGACGCUCACUGGGAUUGACACAAAAAAAAAAGUAUGAGUUGGUCAUCGAAGAAAUUCUAGGAUUAACAGAAAAAAAACGUGAGUUGGUGAUUGAAGAAAAUGACCAGGGGAGAAAGCGGGAGGAGAUGUGAGGAAUUAGAUUGUGCGUGUUGUGUUAGGCUUAAACCAAAGCAGAUUAAGUACCUAAACUCAACAACUGCGGCGAGGCUACAACCCAACGAGAGAGAGGCCUGCAGAUCUGAAAGGCAGGUAGGUGAUGAAGAAAAUGAGCAGGUGGUUGAACCCAACGAGAAGGAGAAACAGGAUUCAGGCAAAGGUCAUCCUCAUUACCUCGGUCGCGUCGGCGGCGGCGACGACGAGAGGCCUCCCGCCCCUAGUCGGGUUGUGCGCGGAGGUCGAUGGUCAGUGAACUCACUGCUCACUUCUCACGCGCAUGGAGACUCCACGGAGACGAACGAAGAGAGGAUUGCGACUGAGCACCGGACGAUGCCUGCUUUGUGAGUUGGGUUUGUGAGUUGGGUGGUGGACCCCGGCAGCCACUGUGAGAGCACGAUUGCUUUUCGCCUCCCAGAAAGCGCGUGGCAAGAGCAUCCACUACAGUGGAUCCAGAAAAUACAUCCUCAUUCCCUACAAAGUGUUAGGCCUUACCUAGUUUAGUUCCAUUUUUUUUAAAAUUGUAUUUGACAAAUAUUGUUAGGUUCAAAAGAUUUAUCUCGUAAAUUAUAUUUAAAUGGUGUAAUUAGUUAUUUUUUAUCUAUAUUUAGUGUUUCAUGUAUGUACCGCAAGAUUUGAUGUGAUAUAAAUCUAAAAAAUUUUGCAAAACUUUUUGUGAGUAGUUCACCUAAAAACCAAAAACUUUUCAAGAUUCCUCGUUAUAUUGAAUCUUGUGGAACAUAAAAUAUAGAUUAAAAAAGUAAUUAAUUGUACAGUUUAGGCCUUAUUUAGAUCCAAAAAGUUUUUGGAUUUUGACACCGUAGCACUUUUAUUUUUAUUUGAAAAACAUUAUCCAAUAAUGGAGUAACUAGAAUUAAAAGAUUCGUCUCGUGAUUUACAGGCAAAAUGUGCAAUUAGUUUUUGUUUUCAUCUAUAUUUAAUGCUUAAAGCAUGUGCCGCAAGAUUCGAUAUGACAGAGAAUCUUGAAAAGUUUUUGGUUGUUUGGGUGAACUAAAUAAAGCCUUAGCUGUAAUUUGUGAGACGAAUCUUUUGAGUCUAAUUAGUCCAUGGUUGGACAAUAAUUGUCAAAUAAAAAUAAAAGUAUUACAGUACCUACAAACUUUUCACCUUUCAACUAAACGGCCUUACAAAUAAUAAAAGGGGUUAAUUAAGGAAGAAAAAUAAGCUCUAACAUGUUCUCUUUCUAGUACUCUUUCUUGAACUUUUUUUUCAAUCUCCCAAAAUCUUCCUCUCCCUUAAACUUUCCAUCAGUGUGAUUGAUCCACCAAAAAAAUCCAUGCGAACUGCAAAAAGAUAUUUAUCUUCCUCUCUCACAAUAAUUAUCUCUUUUGGUGUGCCUUGAGGCCCCUUCUUACUUACUUCUGCACUUUUUUUGUCUCUUUUUUAAACUUCUUUAUUUCAAUAAAAUCCCUGUGGGGGCUGAGACCCCUUCAGUUUCCUAAAAAAAACCCAAAUAAAUCUUGCCUAUUUUUCAAACCUAGCUUCUAAUUACGUCAACUCAAUUUUAUACUUUCAAAGUUAUCUCAUAGAUAGACAACUAAAAGAAUUAACGAUAGCAAAAUACUUCAAAUCCUUACAUGUAUACUUUAUUUAUUGACAAUAGCUAGUUCAUCAGUUGUUCAUCAAUUGUUCAUCCAAUGUGCAUCUGGUUAGUCUCACUGAGUUGAUGUGGUGUUUGGUUGCUUUGCGUGAGAACAUAUGUUGCAAGAUACUCCUAUAAAUUAGGCAAUAAACAUAAUCACGAUAUUUUUUAUACAUGCAACUAUCUUUUAUUGCUCUUGAUUUAUUAUAUUAUUAUCCCUUAAUAUUUUUUUAAAAGAAAUACACUAAUAUCAAUUAAGACAUGCUAGUCGUGCACUGGUAAUGUCAUUAUCUAGAUAACUGCUGUCAACCGAUAGCCUGGAGAAGAACCCAAAAAAAAUCUACUCCCUCCAUCCCAAAUUAUAAAAAUAUUAAACAAGGCCUUAACAAAUUCUGGAUACAAACAAUGCUCAGUUCGAACUCAUCUGGCAGGAGGAUGGUGUGCUACCAGCUGAUGAGUAGUGGGAUCCUAACGUGGGUGGUGUCCUGCCAAGUGCCAACACAUAAGCCGUGCUCAUUCUGGACCACACGCGACGCGAUCCCUCGUUUUGUCCGCGAUCGUUCAAUUCGUUCGUGUCCCUGGCGCUGGCGGCCUGAUGAUGAUCCAACAGCAGUGCCAGUACAGCACACCAACGCCAACGUACGCCGAGGAAGAAGACCAAUCCAUCCAUGGAGUCGCACGCACGGGCCUCACGAGAGGAGAGGAAGAUGAGAGACCAUGACCUGUGGCCCCUAGUAGCAGUGGCAAACCAGGGGGCAGGGGCAGACUAGGCCGUGUGGGGAUUGCACGCCGCCGAUUUCGUGUCCUUGCAGCCACCGUCCGCCACCGUCCAAUCUCCGCUUCUUUAUCUUCUCCGAGGUGAGAGCAGGGAGCCCAGGCGAUCCUCCUUCUCAGUUCUCACACACUGCCACAUACACACACAGCUGACCUGCCGCUGCCGCUGCCACUGCCAGGAAGGUAGGCCACUGCCAGGAUGCCCCGCGGCGGCUUCUCGGGGUCACUCAGGUCGCCCAAGAUCGACGUCGUCAUCGACAUGGGGAACCCCUUCCUCAACCGCACCGUCGACGGCUUCCUCAAGAUCGGCGCCUGCAAGGUGGCCGCCGAGGAGACCUUCGACUGCCUCCACAGGGGUGAGUGCGCGCGUCUCUCUGCCUCUGCUGCUAUAACAUCUUUUACUAUAUUUACAUUGAGUUUGAUCGAGCUGUGUUGACCUUUAGGAGCUUUUCAUGUGGUUAAAUUAAGAUAUUCACUUGCACACAUCUACCACAGCAUUCAUCAUCAAUCAUUAAAAUUGCUAAAAAUAUUAUCACUCACUGUCCCAAGUAUUGUUAUUCUCUCUCUAAAAAGAUUCAAUGCAGAAGAGGCAUGGGUUAUGCAAAAAUACGCGAGGAAAUAAAAAGAGGCAAGUGCCCGGAUCCUCGAAAAAGAAAGAAAAAGAGUGAGACGAGAGGUAAAAAUGGACAAGUGUCCGAAAUAGAAUUAGGGGUACAAAGAUGCCCACUUGAGCGGAAAAAAUGGACAAGUGUCCGACAGUAGAAUUAGGGGUAUCUACUACCCACCUGAAAAAAAAGAGAAAGAAAAGAUAGCCCAUGUUCUCCCAAAGCAAAGAUCAAAGAAGAGGAGAGAUAGCAAUAUGAGGAGCAAUGAGAACUAAGUUUCAUUAUCACUUAUGCAUUUUCACCAUCACUAUCAUUUACUCCAUCACACAUGCACAUCUUGAUUUAAUUAUAUGCUGAGUUCCUUUGGAUCCAUGGCUCGAUUAGACAAUAUAUGUAUGAGCUGUUUUUCACUCCUAUGAGCUCCCCUUAAAUAUUCCAUUAAGCUAUAGGAAAGUGAUAUCAUGGUAAGGAUCCACAAAUACCACAUAUAGAGAGACUUGAGAGAAUCAUUGCUGGGAACUCUGAGUUUUAUUUUGAAAACUUAUGAAAAACUCUGGAACAAAGGUGAAGUAUAAACAGGAGGGAUAGUGCUUGACUUAACUAUUUUGUCUUUCGAUUACUUAAGAUUUAAGUGCAGGUACUAAACUUCAUAACACUUCACUUUAAUCUGGAAGAAUUUUGUAUAAAAGCAUGUGUGCCUGUCAGAAAAGAAAACAUCGAAGCAACUCCUGAUCCGUCUGAGUUUAGCUGUUUGCUCAGGGACGAGCAAAGGGUAAGCUUGGGGGAGUUUGUUGACGGUCCUUAAGUACUAAAAUUAAUAAUCAGAUAAACAUGAAAAAGGAUCAAUAUGAAACAAACAUCUAGAAUUAGGGUUUUAUCUGACAGAAUUCCACGAGCUUUGGUGUUUAUCUAUUUCUGCAGGGGUUUAUCAGAAAAUAUGGAGAGAAGGCCCACAUGUCAUGUUUACAACGAGAUAAUUACGUGUCGCGCAAUUUUCCUCAAUCUAGAAGGAUCCAGAAGCCACGGGAACGAACGGGACGCGAUUCGGGCUCGGGGGCUGGGCGGCCGCCCACCCUCCUUGGGCGCCCGCCCAGGUGGAGAGUCCAAUCAGGACUCUGCUUCGGGACAAUCCUCCACCGACCUAAAGGAUCAAUCUAAACCAUACAAUCUAUGUCGGUUUGAUCCAAUGGCUCACGUUCACUUGAGGGGACUAUAAAACCAGACCCCCUGGCCCCUGGAGGAGAGGAGGAGAAAUCAUUAUUCAGAGGUAGCCAUCAAAGUUAGGGUUUAGAGCUUCUCUCCCACAGAGAAUUAGAAUUAGCUACUCCCUAAUCUUUCAAGUUUAGAGGUUGAUUAGAUAGCAAUUAGAGAAGUAGAGCACUACGCUCUGGAUUCGGAUCUUCGGUAAUAAAGAUUGGUAUUAUUCAUAUCUUUCUCUAAUUCUAUUGUUCUAAUUGCAUUAUGUCUUUAAUUAUUAUGUUCUUAGUUUGCUCUAGUUCUAUAUUUGAUAUAGUUCUAAUUGAUAAUGAGUUUAUGUAUAAGUUUGCAAAGCGCUUAGCUCUUGUCGCGAGGGAGUUAGGUGAUAGAUCACAUGUAAGCGUGGUGCUUAGAUGUUAUUUAUCUGCAAAUGUAUCCUAUUGGCCGAGUCGUGUGGUAGUUCGCGAUAGUGACAGCUUCGUUGAUUCUUAUAUAGUCCACCCUCCGUUGAUAGGACAGGCAGAACCGGUAUUGUGGAGUAAGUCAUGCGAUGUUCUGAUUUACUUUAUCAAUGUUCCUUAUACAUGAAUGAAGAGUCUUUUAUGCUAUAUAUGAUCUUGUAGAUAACUAGAGUAGAUUAUGACUUAGUAGUUAGUAGAUAACUUAGAAUCCAUUCUCUAGCUAAUCCGACAUCACCUACAUAUAUGAGGAGUAGUCUAUUUUCUAAUCGCUGUGCUCUUUAUCCCAUGAACUUACACUUUAUUAUCAUUAUCUUUAUGGUUUACCCCCUGCUAAAGUAUGUGACUGUGUGACGAGUUUCUCAUUAGUAAUCAUGUUCUUGCAAGUUUAUCUCUAGUCUAUGCCUUGAUAGAUUUUGCCCAUUGAUUUAAUUCCAUUUUCCUUAGAUCCCUAAGCAAAAUUAUAAAUAACGAUACCUGGAAUACUUAUCCUGGUGAAAUGCUACAAUGAGGUGUUUUAUCUGUGCGCUUGCGGAUAGAAUAGAUUAUUUUCUAGAGAGCCUUUACAUUUAUAAAUACCUUUGUACACUCUGGCGCCAUGCUAGGGAUGACAACCUAGUAUCUAAGUGGUGUUAGCUAGUGUCAACACCGCCCCAGGCGCCCACGUCCACAUCGGCCCUGGUGUCGACCUCUUCCCAGCCGCUGGCGCAGGGCGUGCCGCGCGCCGUCUUCACACCCGAGCAAACGACAUCCACGAUCGUCGAAAUCAGCCACGGCUUGGCUGAGCUGCGGCUGACGAUGAACACCAUGCUGCAGCUUUACAACAAUUCGACGCCGCAGUUUGGCGCACCGCCGCAGCAGCCGCUCCUGACGCAGUCGUCCCCGUCGGUCGCGUUCCACCACACGGCGCCGGUCUCCUACCCCUACGGGAUGCCCGCCGACGCCGGGUUUUCGACGACAACAGCGUCUACUUCGUCGUCCGUUCCGAUCCACCAGCUCCGUUUUCUGUCAUCGUCGUCCCAGAUCCCGCCAUGGGCGCUGACCUACUCUGGGCCGGUCUACACAUCGGCACCCCAUCGGUUGCACAUGCCCGAUCAUGGCGCACCGUCGGUGUCAGGCACCCCCUACAGCAGCGUGGCGCCCUCGGCUCCACCCUACUAUGACCCCGGCUACGAGGGGUGCCCCUGCAUCUACGCAGGGCAACGGUUCGCCUAAGUUCCACAAGAUCGAGUUCACGACGUACGACGGCUCAGUCGAUCCGCUGAACUGGCUCACGCAAUUUGAGCAAUUUUUUUGGGCCCAACUCACGUCGGCAUCUCAGCGCACCUGGAUGGCGUCCUAUCACCUCACACGUGACGCCCAGACAUGGUACUAUGCCCUCGAGGAGGACGAGGGCCAGCCGCCAUGGGAUCGAUUCAAGGACUUAUGUCGUCUUCGCUUCGGACCGCCCAUUCGUGGUACUCGCUUGGCUGAGCUGGGCCAGCUGCCCUUCCACUCCAUGGUGGAGGAGUUCGCAGGCUAUUUUCAGGCGGUCCUGGCUCACACCCAGGACAUCUCCACCCGCCAGAAGGCGGAGCUCUUCGUCGGAGGACUGCCUAACCACAUCGGCGUGGACGUGGAGAUGCACGACCCUAGCGACCUCCAGACAGCCAUGUACUUGGCACGCGCCUUCGAACGCAAGGCCUUAGCUCUCGCAGCACCAGCACAGCGUGGCGCUCGCCCUCCCUAGCGGCCGAUUGCUUCGGCUCGCCCCACCGCUAGGGGAGGACCUCCAGCCGCGGCGCCCACGCCUACUGCGCUGACACCGACCGACACCGCUACACCCGCCCGCACCUUUCGUCGCUUGACACCGACGGAAAUGCUCAAGCGCCGUCGCCAGGGACUUUGUUACAACUGCGACGAGUAGUAUGUGCGCGGCCACGUCUGCCCACAUGUCUUCUACCUGGAGUCCUCUGACUACAUCGACGACGAUCUAUUCACUGCGACGGAGGACGCCGCAGACGCCACUGUCGAGAGCCCCAUGGCGCCACCAGACGGCGUUGCUGCUCGUGCUCUAGUUGUCUCCGUGUACGCUCUUGCAGGGAUCCACACCUACCACACCAUGCUGCUGGCCAUCACCAUCAAUGGGGAAUGCCUACUCGCGCUACUGGACACUGGCUCCACCCACACCUUCCUCUAGGGCACGGUCAUGUGAAAGCCCUAGUUUGGUUUUGGAUAAUUGAUGAAACCCUAGUACUAAUCUCUAUACUAAGUGUGUGUAGACUUAAUGAGGUUGGUAUAUGCCAAGUGAUGGAGCAAGUGAUGAUCAUGGUAAUGAAGGUGAUGACCACAAGAUGAUCAAGUGCUCAACUUGGAUAAGAAGAAAGAGAAAAACAAAACCCUAUGGAGUUCAAGGCAAAUGUAUUGCUUAGGGUUUUGGUUUUGGUGAUCAAGACACCAUAGAGGGUGUGAUCACAUUUAGAAUAGAUAGCCGUACUAUAAAGAGGGGAAUUCUUUGGCUAAACGGUUAUCAAGUGCCACUAGGUGUCAUUGUUCAUGUGCAUGCAUUUAGAACCUAGUGAGCUAACUUUAACUCCUUCAAAGAAAAUGUUUGUGAAAAUGCUAACACACGUGCACUUGUUGGUUUACACGUUGUGGUGUUGGCACACUUUGAGAAGGAGGUGGAGUUUGAAGAGUAGAGAGAGGAUGGGUUCGGAUUCGGCGCUUUUCGAGAAAAUGAAGUGCAUAUUUUCUAUUGCGCCGGUGGGAAAUUUGGAGAAGUCGUGGGAGUGUUUCUCGCUGAGGAACACUCACCGGACGCUGGCUCAGAGGCACCGGACGCUGUGUCUGAGCGUCCGGUGUGCAGGCUGCCUGACUCGGUUAGGGUUAGGCACCGGACGAUAGGCACCGGACGCAGCUUGGAGCGUCCGGUGGUGCGCGUCCGGUGUGCGGGCGUUUUGCGACCCUCUCUGCACAUGGGUCCGGUGAGCACCGGACGCUAAGGGUGCGUCCGGUGGCUUGCGUCCGGUGACCCUGCGAGUUUGCGGAGCUAUCUGCGCAUGAGUCCGGUGAGCACCGGACGGUCCGGUGCUAACUUGCUCAGCGUCUGGUGCUCUGCAGGUGACCGUUAGACUCUGACACGAGCGUUUCAAAAGGUGACACGUGGCUGACGUUGGAGCACCGGACGCUGGUGCUGAGCGUCCGGUGCCCCUUUAAGAGCGUCCGGUGACCCCGUGUUUUGCCCAGUGAAAGAGCCAACGGCUCUAUUUGUUUGAUGGGCUAUAUAUACGUGUUUGUCCGGCUUGGGGCUCACUCUCUUGGCAUUCUAACAUACUUGACAUCCUUGUGAGCCUAAGCAAACUCCUCCCACUCAUCUCCUUCAUAGAUUAUACAUCUUUGUGAGAUUGGGAGUGAUUCCAAGUGCAUUUGCUUGAGUGAUUGCAUCUAGUGGCACUUGGGGAUCGUUCUAGCUGCAGUUUUCUUGUUACUCUUGGUGGUUGCCGCCACCUAGACGGCUUGGAGCAGCGGAGGAGGAUUGGCACGAGUUGGUGAUUGUUCGUGGCCAUCUCCCGGUGAUUGUGAGGGGUCUUGUACCUUCCCCGGCGGAGAGCCGAAAGGUAACUCUAGUAAAGUGCUCGUGUCAUUGAGUUACCUCACUUGUAGGUAGGUUCUUGUGGUGUUCUAGUGAGGACGAGGUUCGUGCAACACCUCUUAGCCACCGAACCACCAAGUGUUGGUCGACACAACGGGGACGUAGCGUGCCGGCAAGCACGUGAACCUCGGGAGAAAAAUUGUGUGUCUCCAUUGUGAUUGUUCAUUGGAUUUCUCUCGGUGAUUGGACUUCAUAUUAUUGAUUGGUUCAUCCCCUCUACGCGGCGGUAUAAAAAUCAAACUAUCUCUUUUUACAUUCCAGCAAACUAGAGUAGCUUACCUACUUGCAUAGAAACUUUUAGGUAGCUUUCUAGUGUAAGUAGUGACAUAGCUCUUGUGUGCCUAGUGAUUAUAUCAACUAGAAUUGUUGGAUAGGUGGCUUGCAAACACCCCAUUAGAGCUAGAGCAAAAAGCUUCGCUUUGUUAUUAACUAACCUCUUGCUCUAGUGAGUUUGUAGAAUUUUUAAAUAGGCUAUUCACCCCCCCUCUAGCCAUAUUAGGACCUUUCAUCAUGCGCCGCCUGGGGCUUGUUCCGCGUGGCGGCAACAACCUCCGUGUCACUGUCGCGAACGAGGAGCGUUUUCCAUGCAAGGGGAUCGCCUGAGAUGUGCCCGUCCUCAUCGGCGGCGAGUCCUUCCCCGUCACGUGUGUGGGGCUCGCCCUCGGCUGCUUCAACUUCAUCAUCGGCGUGGACUUCCUAGGGGCUUUGGGACCUCUUCUGUGUGACUUCGAGGCCCUCACCGUCUCCUUCUAGCGAGGCGACCAGCGCGUCACGUGGCAGUGCAUGGGUCCCCCAGGUGCUUCUUCACACCAACCGCGCCUGGCGGCGGCCACGGCCGACCAGCAGCGGCCACUGUUGGACUAUACAGCAGCACGUGGCCAUCUUCGACGAGCCUCGUGGUCUCCCGCUCGUGCGCUCCUACGACCACCGCAUCUACCUCCUACCGGGGACCGCGCCGGUGGCGGUGCGGCUCUCUCGAUACCCGCAGCUCUAGAAGGACAAGCUGGAGCGGCAAUGCGCCGCCAUGUUGGAGGAGGGCAUUAUUCGUCCGAGAACGUCACCAUUCUCCACCCCCAUGCUGCUCGUCAAGAAGUCCGAUAGGUCGUGGCGCUUCUGCAUCGACUACCGCGCGCUCAACGACAGGACGUCCAAGGACAAAUUCCUGAUCCUGGUGGUCGACAAGCUCCGCGGGGCACGUUUCUUCACCAAGCUCGACCUCCGCUCGGGCUAUCACCAAGUGCGCAUGCACCCGGCGGACAUCGAGAAGACCGCUUUCCACACCCACCACGGCCACUUCGAGUUCUUGGUGAUGCCGUUUGGGCCCCCAACGCCCCGGCAACGUUCCAAGCCCUGAUGAACGAAGUCCUCCGGCCUUUUCUUCGCAGGUUCGUGCUGGUAUUCUUCGAUGACAUCUUGAUCUACAGCUCAUCGUGGUCCGAGCACCUCCAGCACGUCGUCCUCGUCUUCUCCGCUCUGAGGGCUCACGGCCUCUACCUCAAGAGGUCCAAGUGCUCCUUUGGGGCACUCUCCGUUGACUACCUUAGGCAUGUCAUCUCUACUGACGACGUCGCUAUGGACAACGACAAGGUGGUUGUGGUCGCCGCGUUCACCUCGGGGCGUCUGUGGUUUUCUCGGCCUUGCAGGCUACUACCGCAAGUUCAUCCGUGACUUUGGCUCCAUCGCAGCACCACUCACUCGUCUCCUGCGCAAGGAGGCGUUUGCUUGGACGUCGGAAGCGGCAGCGGCCUUCGACACCAUCAAGAGGGCCUUGUCAUCAGCCCCUGUUUUGCAGAUGCCGGAUUUCACUCGCGAGUUCGUCGUCGACUGCGGCGCCUCAGGCACAGGCUUUGGCGCUGUUCUCCACCAGGGGUCGGGUCCCCUGGCGUUCUUCAGCAGACCCUUCGUCGCCCGCCACGUCAAGCUCGCGGCCUACGAGCGUGAGCUCAUCGAGCUAGUGCAGGCGGUCCGGCAUUGGCGGUCGUACCUAUGGGGACGCCGUUUCCUCGUCCGCACCGACCACUACAGCUUGAAGUUUCUGCUCGACCAGCGCCUUUCCAUUGUUCCGCAACACCAGUGGGUUAGCAAGCUGCUCGGGUUUGACUUCGCGGUGGAAUACCGCCCCGGCCGACUCAACUCGGUGGCGGAUGCGCUGUCCCGACGCGACGAGGAUGCAGUUGUAGCGCUCGCCUUGUCCAGGCUGUCCUUCGCCCUCUACGAUGACAUUCAGGCAGCCACUCAGGUGGACCCGGUGGCACGCGGCCUCCUGCAGCAGCAGGCCGCUGGGACGCUGGUGGCGUCCUGGACCAUCACGGAUGGCUUUCUCCUUCAUGGGAAACGCGUCUACGUUCCUGACCUGCAGGACUUGCGCCAUCAGGUGGUGACCCUGGCACACACUACAGGGCAUGAUGGUGUCCAGAAGACCCUUGUGCGUCUGCGCAGUGAUUUCUACAUCCCCGGUGACCGCAAGCUUGUGCAAGACUAUGUCCGCACGUGUGGUGUGUGCCAGCGCAACAAGACGCCCACGACACAGUUGGCCGGUUUACUACAGCCCCUGGAUGUGCCUUCCCAAGUUUGGGCCGACAUCUCCAUGGAUUUCAUCGACGCCCUUCCCAAGGUCCAUGGCAAGUCGGUCAUCUUGACGGUGGUGGAUCGCUUCUCCAAGUACGCGCACUUCAUCGCUCUCAGCCACCCCUACACGGCCGCGUCAGUGGCCCGUGCUUUCUUCGAGGGGAUUGUGCGGCUUCAUGGCUUUCCCACCUCCAUUGUCAGCGACCGCGAUCCGGUUUUCACCAGCCACUUGUGGAGGGAUUUGUUUCGCCUUACAAGUGUGAAACAGCGGCUCAGCACGGCCUUUCACCCUCAGAUGGACGGCCAGUCUGAGGUUGUCAACAAGGUGAUCGCCAUGUACUUGCGUUGUGCGACCGACGACCGGCCGCGCUCAUGGGUCGACUGGCUACCGUGGGCAGAAUACUGCUACAACACGUCGUACCACAUGGCACUUUGCGUGACUCCAUUCGAGAUUGUCUACGGCCGCCCACCACCUCUCCUUUUGCCCCACCAAGAGGGGGCGGCUGAGACGGAGGAUGCAGACGUCAUGCUCCGGGACCGCGACGCAUUCCUGGUCGAGGUCCGGGAGCGCCUCCUCCAGGCACAGCAACACGCCAAGGAGCGCUACGACGAGCACCAUCGGGAUGUGGACUUUGCUGUGGGCGAUUGGGUGCUGCUCCAACUUCUUCACGCCCCACACACACACGCUCGCGACGCCGGCCAAGGGCAAGCUUCGUCCUCGCUAUGUUGGUCCGUUCCGUGUGCUAGAACGCAUUGGGUCGGUGGCCUAUCGUCUACAGCUGCCCGAGACUACACGCCUCCAUGAUGUUUUCCACAUCGGGCUGCUCAAGCACUGGAGUGGUGACCCUCCUGUGACGCCGGCGGUGGUGCCACCAGGCUUCGAGGGGCGCCUGCUUCCUACCCCGGAGAAGGUUGUGCGCGCGCAGCUACGCCGUGGACAGUGGCAGCUGUUGGUCAAAUGGCGCGGCCUUCCGGAUGAUGCUGCGACAUGGGAAGCUCUCGACGACUUCAAAGCCCUAUACCCCGAUGUCCAGCUCAAGGACGAGCUGUUUGUCGACGCGAGGAGAGAUGUUAUGACCGGCGUCUAGUAUCAAAGGAGGCGCCGGCCCAUUAGUGGCUAAAGCUACCAUCGGCCAGGGGUUUAGGCACAGGAGUUAGAGGCUAACAGCCCAUAUUUAUCUUUAUUUGUUUAUUUCCAUAAUUUAAGUAAUUAUUCAUAUAUAGGAGUUGUAAUUCUUGUGGACAGAAUUAAGCAAGAGUAAAUCUUAUUACUCGGCUUCCCUUGGGAGCCGGAAGUUUGCCCUAGCCGUCGCCUCCGUUCUCUUCUUCCUCGCACGACCACGGCGCCCCGCCGCCGUGCCACGCACCCAGCCCCCCAACACACAUACAACCUUCGCUCGACCAAGGGAAGGGUACAGGUCCGUAUCAGAUUCUUUGCUUGCAAUUCCUAAAUGUGGAUCGUGAUUUACUUGACAUUCCAAAAACACGUGUCAUGACUUAUGAAUACUGCAGAUCUCUAGUUGUAGUCUCAGUCUAGUGUACUGUCAUCUCAGGAAUUCUGUGUUACUGGAAACGUUGAACUAAACCCCUGCACCUCUUUUCCAUCUUGCGUCAUGCAUGCUUGUGUAUCCCUGAAAAAUCUUUGAGCAACUUCAGGUCUACACAUCAAACUGAUACACUUUCACAAUAUGUAUGCAGCUGAAGAAAUGUGCAGGGAGGGCGCAUACUGGGGUAACUAAUUGACCGAUUUGUGCCUUUUUGUCGCUUCAAACCCACAUAAUUUGUUUUGGCUUCUUUCCCUUCUUCAUUUAUACUCUGACUAAUGUACAAUAGUAUAAAUGUGUGAUAUUAUUGUACUGUCGUGUAAGAUGCUAUUAGUCAUAUUAUUGUAAGGCAAGCACUUCAAAGUUUUGUGGAGCUACUUCUCAUAUGCAAUGAGGUGGUUGUAUGGGGCAACAGAGAAAGUUACAUAGAAAAUGACAAACCCUUUCACGACACAUAGUCAUACCAUAUUUAUUUUACUUUGAGCCAAUGGUGAAUUCAUGAAUCUCGAGAUAUGUCGGCUCAGUACUUCAAAGGUGCUCUUAGGGGUAGGGUUUGUGUAAAUUUGCUCAUAGGGAUGAGUAUGCGUACGUAUUGUGAGCAUCUGUGUUGUAGUGUGUAAUUCUAAAAAAAAGGACUGAGCUAGUGAAAAUGAUCUUUACCUCCAUGGAUCUUAUUUCUGGGUUCCCCCUGUUUUUACUGUAACUUUUACAUGUUGCUCUGGACACAUCCAAAGUGAUUGCGUUACUCUUGGAUGCAUAUUCAGGCUUGACACCAACACAGUGAUCCAUCACUUACUAUGGGCCGUAGUCAGGGACCAAGUAGACCUGUUAAACAUGUUUACAUAGCAAUGAUAGUGUUUUUGAAAUUUUCUAGUUUUUUUUUAAAUCUAUUUUUCUAGAGCUAAAUUUAUUUUUUGAAGCGGAGAUCUAAGUAUAUUAUGUAGAUUUUUCUAUACUAUUCUGUCUCUAUAAUCUUUUUUAAGAAUUAAAUGCUUAGAGACAUCUUCUGUGGUACCAAUUUUUUAACUAAAAAGGAUAAACCCAAUUUUAUCUCUCUGACGCCAUGUUAACUAUUGCUGUCCAAAACCAUCCAUAGUGGAAACAAACAAUUUUAAAAGUUAAGGAGACCUAAAAAUCUGAUCUUAAAAAAAAAUAUAAAGCAAAAACUCACUAGCCUAUUUUUCUUAUUCCACAGCCCUCCACAUCAUCGUUCCCUCCUCAGUUAUUGUCCGUUCGAUUUCAUCAGCUAGUGUCUACCGUGCAUACCAAACAGGCAACAUCAAUAUACUACUCCUACGUUCACAGUAGAGUUUAGGUGCUUCUUCUAUGAACUGCCCCAUCCGUUCCAAGAUGACAGAAGCCAAUGAUCAAGACUCAAGAGGCGGAUCCUUUUCUGCACAAUUCUACAGCAGCUGGCAGCCAGGCAUAAUCACAAACUUUUGUCAUCCAGUUUCAAAGCUUCCUCUCAAUUCUUGCUGAAUCCCAUCCUAUACAAUUUUGUUAAUUUUUAAGUAAAACGAAUUAUUUUUAAUUUUUUACUUGCUAUUUAUCCAGUGUUUCUUUUAGUUUUUGCUGACAUGAACCUCUGACAUACAUCAUAUACAUUGUAUAGUAACUAAAUAGUAUUUUUUUUUUCUCUCAGGCUCUUUAUCCUGUUUGAUGAGAAACAUCAUCUCGAUUUCUACUUGCUCUCAACUGUUGGUGUCCCACAUCCCUAUAUGAGUUUUUUUUGUAGAAUGUAUGGGUCGAUCCCGUUGCAGUUGCGUGAUGUACGUACACAUGCUAUUGUGCAAAUUAUAAAUAAUGUCUUUCGCACUUCCUACCCUAAUGCAUUUGUCGUUCACAAAAUAUCAUUUCUUAAACUCCUGCAGCAACCCGUAAGGUAUUCAUCUAGUUCUAUAAAAAAAGGGAUCGUACAAUCUUUGUCAAAAUUAAAAUAUACAUGCAAACCACAUGUGCCACUUCAUAAAACAACUACGACAUCAAAGACAUCAAAUAUAUUUAACUCUAUACGCAUGUGCGUUUGAUAUUUCAGUUCCCUAGCUACCGGCGCCAUUUUAGCGGGCCACCUUGCUAGUUACAUAUGAAUGUAGGUUGAUGGACAUGAUAAUAUAACUAAUAAUACAAUGCAUCGGUAAUAGUCUUACAGGCAGCAGAAUGUACCAACGGUUGCAUUUGCCGUAUUCACGCAUAGAUUUCCACACAAGGAAUGUGACUGACAAGGUGCCAGUCGGGCCCUUCCCCUCGCUUGUAACGCUCCGCCAAACCAGGGCAACCACUAAUGACCAAUCUCUCAAGAGCGGUUAGGCGUUGUAUGGAUUGGGGCAAGUAUUGAAGGGCAGGGAAAUGCUGGGUAUAAAGCGAACGAAGCGCAGAGAGUUGUCCAAUCCACUCCGGCAGCACCGUCAGUGCAGGACCUGAUGACAGGUCGAGAUGUUCAAGCGAGGUGAGGUUCCGCAUGCUCUCUGGUAACUGUGUCAGGUCAUUGCACGUGUCAAUAUACAACUCUUUCAGCUCAGUGAGGUGCUGCAGCAGUUCCCAGCCAGAUGAUGAUCCUGUAACUUCGCUUAGCCAUAGACUCUUGAGGCGAGGGACCAACGCAUGCAUGCUGGGCAGCUGAUGGGAGAACCUUCCAGUGGAUAGCAACUGCCCAUUGGUUCUGCCUAAAGUCAUACGCUCCAACGAUGGUGGAAAGUAGGGGCUCACAUUUAAUUUUGGGCAGCCAUAUAUGUGUAGACUGGACAGGACAGGGAAAAGAUGUUGUGCUGCCAAUUCUUUCUCCCCAGUUUCAAAACCACUUGAUGUAGUCCACAGCUCCUCUAAAUUAGGCAUUUCCAACAGCUCAAGGGUCUUCAGUGAAGGCAACUCAACAAAUCCUCUCAUAUGCCUCAAGUUUGGAAAUCUUACUAGCGUUAACAAAGUUAAACAAAGGAAAUGGGAUGCGAUAGUUUGCUUCAGCAUUAUGCCACCUUCACAAUAUGAAGAAUCAUUUUGCUUCAUCAUCCAUCCUGGCAGGCAGGGGCCUCUGUAACCAUAGAUAUCCAACCUCUCAAUUUGCGAUGGUGGUUCAAGAGCGUUCAGCACACCCCAAUCAUGUUCCAUAUCUGACACCAGCUCUUCUUCGGCAUCACUUAAAGACCAGUUCAGCUCCAAGCGUUGCAUGUGACUCUUCCGCUUCAAGCAAGCCUUCUCUGCUUCACUUGGAUCCUUCAAAUACUUAAGGUUGGUAAUUUCCAAGUGACCACCUAUCAUAUCAAGGUUUUCUAGCUCUGAGAUCCUCGCAUCAUCUGCACCACACCCAACAACAAACAAUCCCAGCUUUCUUAAACGGGUCAGCUGUCCCAACCCUGAUGGUAAGCAGCACAGUUUACUACAACGCUCUAUGUUCAAAACUGUGAGCCUUUUCAAGUUUGCUAUGCCCUUAGGCAACUCCCGUAGCUCAUUGCAUCCCUUAAGGUCAAUACAUUCCAGAGUAUCAAUCGAUGUAACCCAUUGAGGUAGCAUGGUAACUUUGGUUUCAGAAAGGUUCAGAGUACGCAAUGUAGGACAGGAUAAUGUGCUUGGCAGGUCUUGCAAACCCGUACAACCAUUAAAGUCAAGUACACAUAGGUUUCCAAUUCUACCUAAAGAGCUUGGUAUCUCUCGUUGUUUUCUGCACUUAUAUAGUUGCAAGCACUGAAGAACAUAACAGUCACCGAUGGACUGAGGCAAACUCUCAAGAUCAGUAAUCCGAUGCAACUCUAGAGUCCUUAGCUUCCGAAGCUUUCCAACAGACUCAGGUAAUGUCACGAAACCUUUGCAGUUAACAAAAUGGAGUGACUGCAAGUUCCAACACCUCGAGAUAGCUUCCGGAACUGUUGUACAACUAACAUUAUGGAUUUCAAGAUACCCAAGAUACUCAAACUUUAAUAUGAAUAGUGAAAACGGAGUAUC